rnacentral:lncRNA from 1 species
AAUUUCCUUGGGUUUUAUCCCAAGUGUUCUCAUGUAAGAAUAAUCUAAGCAAUUACGGACUUAAAUCAUCCAAACUAACAUAUUAUUACUUUGCAAUCAAGAAUCAACGUAGAUCUAAACAACAAAGCAAUAUUGAAAUCAAGCAUGAAAUUGCAUAAAUAUUGAACAACCAAAAGUUAAACAAUGUUUGAUCAAGUCUCCCAAUCCAUAAAACAACCAAAGUAUCACCUAAUCUUCAACUAGAAUAAAAGAUUUCAGCCUCUCAUGGCUGAAACAAAAUCAAAAAUAAAAGAAAAGAAGAAAGGUAGAAGAAGAGAUGUGAAUUUCGUAGGUGUCUCCCAAGGGGAGCUUAAGGGCCAUGUAGAGGCUUCCUAUGUGGCUUUUUAUAGUUGAAAAGUGUUGCCCUAGGUCAUACUUACUGCCCAAGAGGUAUUUUUUGCCCAAGAUGUUGCAGAAAAGGAAGGUGGCGCGCCGAUGGCUCUCAGAAGAGGAAAGCGCGCAGAUUGUUUCUGAAUAGGAAGGAUGCACGAAUUUUGAUCUUCAAAGGGGAAGAUAUGCUUGUCCAGACAUUCCUUUUUAGGUGGAGCCUCUUUUGAAAUUUGAAUAUUGAAUGCAGAAGAGGAAGAGCAUCUCUUUGAGAUCUUGCUGCCUAAAUAGGAAGAUAUGACUGCUGCAGUGUGUGCACAUCUUUGAACAAGGAAAGAAAGAUCUGCGAUUUGAAUUUCAAAUAAUCUUCUGACUGAGUUUUCCUUGUUUGCUUUUGCUUUUGCACUUUCCUCAUUUGAAAACUUUCCUUUUCUGAAAACUUUCCUUAUUUGGAAACUUUUCUUAUUUGGAAACUUUCCUUUUUUGGCACUUUCCAUAUUUAGCACUUUUUGGCAGUUUUAGGAGCAUUUUCUCCAGAUUGUCUCUUUACACCUAAUAUCUGCAAAACAAUAUUAAAAGCAGUAAAUUAUGCAGAAAUCAUAUAAAUAUUCAUUAAUAAUAUUAAUAUAAAAUGGACUAAAUUAUGCUCUAUCAAAUACCCCCACACUUAGCCUUUUGCUUGUCCUCAAGCAAAUAAACAUAGUCAAAUAAGCUUUCUCACUCUAGAUCCUUAUUUCCACUUAAGCUCUUACUCUAGACCCCUAUUUUGAAUCAUUGCAGUGAAGAAUAUAUGCAUGAAGAUUACUCACCUUCUUUCCUUGUUUCCCUUUACUUACCAUGGCUAGGAUUUGUUUUCCUCAAGAGAGACCAUACAUGUACAUUUUUGUUAAGACUUUUUCUAGCUUUUGGAUUGACUUGCCCUUACCUUGAAGUACUUUAUUCAGGCUUUUGCGCUUUAGAUCUCGCUUGGAAAGGUCACCAACCUAUUUUUGAUUUGAAGGUUUAUAUUUUUCAGUUGGUCACCUAUCCAAGUGGCUACUUGCCUUGUUCAUAGUCUUUUGACUAUUGGAACAAUUUUUAAUUUGUGCUUUUGAGGUCUUUGCCUUUGCUGAAUUUUCUUUCUCUCAAUGAUUUGGGCAAAUCAACACCAAUCGCUAAAUCAAGUCACAUUAAGUUUAUUCACACAAUUUUAAUUUAUUCUCAAUCAAUUGAGGGUCAUCAAUAUAUUUUUCACCAUGGCAAACUCAAAGAUUCAAUUCAAAAGGCAAUUCUCAAACAUGAAUAUAACUCACUGCAAUUGAUUCAACAUAAGUUUAAAGAGUCAUCACAUCAAUGGGGUCAUAGAAAGAAAAGAUCAUCCAACAUAGUCUAUACGAUGAGUAAAGCAUCUAAAAAAAACAGAAACAAAGUAAAUAAAAAAAAACUGUGGCUAUUUGUGUGUGUUAUUGAAAGCAAAAAUGAAAAAAUUUCAACUAAUGCAAGCAAACUAAAAAUCAAAGCAAAAAUAAAGCAAAAAUAAACUCAAAAAGUAAAAAUUCAGAAAUAUGCACCCCCACACCUAAGUCAUGCAUUGUCCUCAAUGUAUAGGAAACAUAAAAGAACAAAGGAAACUGAGUACUCCCCUGGGUGUGGUGUGCAUGGUGUGAUCCACUUGAUCAAGGCUCAAGUAAUUGGAGAAGAGAAGAGAGUCCCAACUGUAUUGAGCAAAAAGUGUAGCACUCUUUUUGAUUUGGUCAUAGCCCAUCCUACUUUUUCCAUGUACUCAUGAAGUAACAUGAUUAGCUUCUCCUCUUUCAAAUGAGGUGUGCCUCUAGCCCUUAUGUUUGCAUUUUUGAGCACUUCCAACUUCAAUUGAUAUUUCUCCAUGGAUGGCUGCAAUUUGGCAUUAAGUUCAGGCAAAACAAAUUCUACCUUAUCUGGAGGUUUGGGCAGGCAUUGAUCUGCAUGCUCCUUUGGUUUGGGCCAUUGGAGUACCAUUUGUUCCUCCUGGGCAUGGACUGUUUGCAUUGGAAGGAUGAACGGAGUUUCAGUUUCCUCCUUCUGCAUAGGACCUAACUGAGGUGGAAGACUGAUUUGUGUUGGAAGCUGAAAGGACGCGCCUGGGAGGAUUUCAGGUACUCCUUCUUGCGCAAGAUUGAUAUGCAAUGGAAGAAUGAAAGGAGUUUCAUGCGAUGGAAGCUGAAGAGGUGCAACUAGAAGAGUUGCAGGACUGUCCUGCGGUCCAAGUUGAGGUGGUUCAGUUGGAGUUCCUUCUGACUGCGCAAGAUUGAUCUGAAGAGGUGUGAUUGGCUCUCCUUUGUUCUGUGCGUGUUCGCAGUCCACCUGUUGGAUGUAACAAUUAGUUUCUUUCAGUUCUGGCUCUUUUUGGCUCUCUUCCCUGCAAGGAUCAUUGUUUAGUAUAUCAUCAUGAUUUGUAUAAAAAUUAUCUUUGCUCAAAUAAUCAAUGAUAUCUAAAUGAACAACAGGUUCUGUUUGAUCAGUUUGUUUGGGCAAACAAUUUUCUGGUUGUGUUUUUUCAGCAACUUGUACUUGCCAACUUUCAUCAUCAUCCCAUACAUCUUGAAGCUCUUCCUCUCUUCUUAACAUGGUUGCAUUCAUUGACGCAGUCAGCUGUCUUAUGUCCUGUCGUACGCUUUGCAUAGAUGUGGUCAUUUGGCCUAGGUCUUGUCGCACGCCUUGCAUGGUGUUCACCAUUGUUUCCAUCAUCUUUUCAAGGUGUUGGUAAGGAUUUCGAGGUUCUGGUUGGACUUGAUAUCCUUGAUAAUCCUGGUAGUUGUUAGCCUCAGCAUAGCCAUAGUUUGGUUGGUCUCCCCAAUAUGGACUGUAUGUGUCAUGGUAGGGAUCAUGUCUUGGUUGUUCAUAGAAUCUUCCAUAUGUAUGUACUUGUUGGUCAUACUCAUAACGUGUAGGACAUUGAUCAGUUGGGUGGCCUACAUAUGAAUAGAUCCCACAUGGUCUUGGUGGCUGAAAGCGUUGAGCUCGACCUAUGACAUAGCUAUCCACAAGAGAGGUUAGUUUUGAAAUUCGAGAAUCAAAAUCAGAUGUACUUACCUCAUCCAUGAUUUUGGAAUCUUAAGGAAGAAUGUCCUUGAGUGCAGAUUUGGCCAUGAAAGAAAAAUAAACAAGUUAAAUCAAUUCCCCGGCAACGGCGCCAAUUUUUGACUCGCGGUUGUCGAAACCGGUCAAAAAUAACCUUUCUGGUUAUCAACAAUUUACAACUGCAGAUAGUGGUGAAAGGAUCGAAUCCACAGGGAAUUGAAGACUUACCUAUUUUCCUUAUCAAGACCAAUAAAAUAAACUGAAAUAAAAAUAAACUGCAAAAGAAGAAAACUGAAAACGAGAUAAACUGAAACGAGAUAAAACUGAAAUAAGAUAAAACUGAAACGAGAUAAAACUGAAAACGAGAUAAAUUGAAACGAGAUAAAACUGAAAUGAGAUAAAACUGAAAGAGAAAUAAACGGAAAGCAAAAUAAACUAAAACGAGAUAAAACUGAAAGCGGAAUAAAAAUAAAUUGCAGUAAAAGUAAAAUGGGGGGUUUGAAAUUGAUUUGAUUAACAAACUACUGAAAGCAAUUAAAAUAAGCAAAUAACAAAAUAAAAGAGAAAUAAAUAAUGAGAAAGAUCUAGUUGAAGAGUUGGAUCCACUUUAGUUGUUGGGAUUGAUCAUUGACACUUAGUUUCCUUUGGGUUGAUUCAAUAGAUUAGUUAUGGAGAUGAAAGACACUUCUCACCACCAUUAUCUCUCCUUAUGAUUAAACCAAUUAGGGAACGUCCUCUAAUUAAUUACUAAUUAAUAAAUUGCCAAGGAACGUCCUUGGGCCUUAGGCAUCAAAACAAUUGUCAAUUGCAUUAAGAAAUAGAGAGAUCCAAUCCUAGCUACCCAAACGUAUGGAGAUAACGCUAGAUCAUACAAUUUCCUUGGGUUUUAUCCCAAGUGUUCUCAUGUAAGAAUAAUCUAAGCAAUUACGGACUUAAAUCAUCCAAACUAACAUAUUAUUACUUUGCAAUCAAGAAUCAACGUAGAUCUAAACAACAAAGCAAUAUUGAAAUCAAGCAUGAAAUUGCAUAAAUAUUGAACAACCAAAAGUUAAACAAUGUUUGAUCAAGUCUCCCAAUCCAUAAAACAACCAAAGUAUCACCUAAUCUUCAACUAGAAUAAAAGAUUUCAGCCUCUCAUGGUUGAAACAAAACCAAAAAUAAAAGAAAAGAAGAAAGGUAGAAGAAGAG